CCACGGGCUUGUUUUGUGAAGGAGUUGGAUUUCACCGCUAUUAUUGCAGUUGAUACCCUGGAAGAUGGUUUCGGGAAGCGCCCUGUAAGUAUUCUAUUUUUCAAAACUUUUGAAACAAUACCUUCUACUUAUUUUGUUGCAAUUGCAACUCUGUAUCCUUUUUAUCACAUUUUCCAUGUGUUUUUCAAUAUGUUUAGUUUUCUAGAAUGCAGUACAGCUCCACUACACCGUACGCAACAACCAAGUUUCUGUCAUCCAUAGAGCAGCUUGCCCAGUUACCCAACAAAGCUAGUGUGUCCGCAACACAGAUUACCGAUAUGGUUGGUGCUGAUGGCGCUCAACAACCAACAGAAGGUUCUACAAACGAAGUUGAUAGCACAACACGGAAUGUCCAUGAACCACCUCCGAAAAUCACGGAGGGUGGUGAUGAUGUUUGCGGCUCUUUGGAGGACUGGCUGCACCCUCUACCCACAUUUGAGGAAUUAGAGGUGAGCCAUA
rnacentral:lncRNA from 1 species